AUACAGAGGGUGCGAGCGUUAAUCGGAAUUACGGGGCGUAAAGCGCGCGUAGGCGGCUACUUAAGUCAGAUGUGAAAUCCCCGGGCUCAACCUGGGAACUGCAUCUGAUACUGGGUAGCUAGAGUUUAGGAGAGGGAAGUAGAAUUUCAGGUGUAGCGGUGAAAUGCAUAGAGAUCUGAAGGAAUACCAGUGGCGAAGGCGGCUUCCUGGCCUAAAACUGACGCUGAGGUGCGAAAGCGUGGGUAGCAAACGGGAUUAGAUACCCCGGUAGUCC
rnacentral:rRNA from 1 species